AGUAUAGCUUUGAGAACAAACUUCAGUACAGGAUGGGAUGGGAUAGGAUAGGAUAGGAUAGUUUGAAAGGACCUACAAAGAUCAUUUAUUCUAACUGCGUAAUUACUUCAGUGCUAACAAACGUUAAAGAAUAUUAUCCAGGACAUUGUCCAAAUGACUCUUAAACAUUGACAGGUGUGAAGUAGCAACACACUCACAAGGAAGUUUGUUUCAGUGUUUGACCACCCUGAAGUCUCCAUUCCUGAAGAUAUUCAAAACCCACUGGCUGAGAACCUGAGCGAUCUGCUUUAGCUGACCCUGAUUUGAGGAGUGAGGACACUGAAUAUGAUGGUCUCCAGAAGAAAGAAAGCAGUCAGAGAAGACCUAAUUGGAGUUCUCCUUGCUGACACAGCAGGCUGUAAAGCAGCGAUCUCGCCUUGGGCAGGUGCAUCUCUCAGAGUUUCUCCUUGAUGUCAAGUGAUGCUAACUCCAUUUACUGAAGGCAUGGAAAGGCACACAGCCAAAUGACUGGGAAAAGUGUUAUGCACCAGAACACGCUGUAGGAUGUCAUGAAGAAAUCAGAGGAUUUGAAGCAUUCUCACUUGGAUCAAUCCAAACGAAGAGCAGCUUCCUCCAGUGUCUGUCUCCUGGGCUUAACGAAGAUGUGACGGUAUCAUUAAGCAGCAAUAACUACUUCACAUUUCUUUGUUUGAUGCUACCUCUUUUAUUUUGCACAAGGGUUUUUGAACCAUGAUGGUGUGCAGAAUUUGUCUUUGUCUCUCCUUCACCUGCUCCCUCAGGUCUGUCUGUGUGUUGAACAGCACUGAGCACUUCUAUUUAAGCGCUGUAUAGUCAUAGGACCCUGCAGGAAGGAUGGCAGAGGUCAUUCCAGCAGAGCCUCCUGACAUGCUUUGUACACAGCAUCUGUUUUAGAAUAUGGAGAAUAUUGAAUAUUGAGUAUUGAGUUAUUUCCUAACAGUAGCUGCUUUUUCAGCCAGCUGUGGCUCACUGCUCUGAAGUCAGUAUUUAAGCCUUUACUAAUGUGUGACAGAGAGCAGCAUAAAAACCUCAGAUUUUGAGAGACAAUAUCAAUAGAUAUGUUUGAAUAUUAUAUAGUUAUUAUAGGCUUUUUGUUGUUUCUGCAGUUCCCCUGUUUGCAUCAAUCUUGAGGAAAAUUUCUGCUGUAUUUUGAUGUUUCUGUCUGUCAGUGAUUUAUGCCGCUCAGCCACCAGCUUGAUCUUUUUCACCCUUUUCUCCUGGGGAAUGCACAGGAAGAAAUGAAAACUGUGCAGAAAGAAAGGAAGAAACACUACGUGGGUUUGUUCUGUUCAGCCUAAAGAGUUGGGCAAAUAGCUUUCUCCCAUGUCUUUUUGAUAUGUGUAUUUGGUGGGAAGUGUUCGUGAACAAAGAGGCUGUGCAGCAAGGAUUCUAUUGCUUCAUGUAAAAGUAGCUCAUACUCCAUCUACUGAUUAACAGGGUAAAGAACAUCUGUUUGUUACUGUACUCCAAACACUGGUGCUACCCUCUGAAUGGCAGAUGAUGGUACAUAGAGCACACAUCUGUUUUCUUUUGGGGGGGUUGGUUUUCUUCUUCUGUAUAUUCAGAAGAAUAUAUUACAUUCUAGUGAAUAUUGUAUAUUCACUAAUCCAGAUUUGGACUUGUGUACAAAGUUUGUCUCACAUGACGUACUCCUUUUUCAGACAGGCAGCCUGCAGUCAUUCUUAAAGCUGUCCCAGAGUCAUCUGUGGCUUACUUGUGUUCAACUAGAGGUCUAACACAACCCAGGCAAUAUUAAACGUGCAUUAGGUAUACCCUGGUUUGGCAGGAAAGGAAAUUAAGGGAUUAUUCAGCUCUGGUGUCUCCUACGACAAUCCCUGAUUCCCAGACUUUAAGCUGACUGCUGUCCCCACUUGCCCUGCAGUCCCAGUGCUGGAGUGAACCAGUAUACUGCUCAAUACUGCCUUAAUUUCAUUUUUGAUCUGCAGCAAGGGCAGGAAGCCAGAGUUAAGGCGCCUGAGGGUUAAAAUGAUCUCCAUGACUGCUCCAUGACCUACAUCCCCUCCCCAAACCAGCUCGUUUCAGAAUGCCAGGUGCCCCCUCUCAGCCUCACUAAUGACCCUAUAAUUGACAUUUCUCUCCAGCCUCCUGCUCUGAGUUUCAGACUCUCAGAGUAUACUUGUUUCUCUAGAUCUGAGUGCACUAUCCUCUCCCCCAGGCACCGAGCAGCAUAACAGUGGCUAGCUCCUGCCAGGAAGGGUGCCAGAGGAUGGAUAGAUAGAUGGGUGGAUGGGCGAAUUGUCAGAUGGAUGGAUGGGUGGGUGGAUGGAUGAAAAGACCCGCCUCUCUCCGGAGGAGCCUCCCAUAGCAGACUCCGGGGAAGCCCGGUUGUUCCAGAGCCUUUUUCUGCCCCUCCUUUCGGUGACUUGCAGAUUCGCGGCUCACUUUCUUUCCUUGGUGGCUGCCGCCCUCCGCUGGAGCAGAGCGGGUUUUACAGCAGAGCAUCUUCCCAGCCAGGGACCGGGCAGCUGCUCCAACCCCGCUGCUACUGCUCCAUCCUGGGAAGCUCAGGGCAGGGACCGAUUUCCUGAUAGAUCCGAAGCUGCGUUUUAUUGACCCCCAGAGUUAGUUGUGCCCAAGUCUCAUCACUUUCUUGUCAGUCUGCAUUUCCAUGAGCCCUCUCUACCACUGAUGGGAUGGCAGAAACUUAUAAAAAGAAAUCAUUAUUUUUUUUCUCCAGAAUUGUGAAGACAGCAGCUGAAGAAUCUUGAGCUAUGAGGAGUGUUGCAUUUGUCCCAGGUGCAAACUCUUUGAAAGGGUCGAUAACAGCAGGACACGGGGAAAAUGGUUUUAAGCUGAAGGAGGGAAGUUUUAGGUUGGAUAUCAGGGGGGAGAUUCUUUAGUGUGAGAGUGGUGAGGUGCUGCAACAGCUGCCCGGAGAUGUUGUGGAUUCCCCAUCCCUUGAGGUGUUCAAAGCCAGUUUUGAUGGAGCACUGGGCAGCCUGGUCUGGUAUAAAAUGUGGAGGCUGGUGGCCCUGCCUUGUGGCAGGGAGUUUGGAGCUUCGUGAUCCUUGAGGUCCCUUCCAACCCAAGUCAUUCUAUGAUUCAAUGAAACUUUUUGGAAAGUAGAUUAACUGUGAUGCACCUUCAGCAAUAAGUAACAUGCACUCCUUUCCUAUCUGUAUGUUUUGUAGUGAUUAAUUCUUUGUGUAUGUGUGUGCAUUAAGCUGUGUUCAGGUUUUCACUGCUGGUAUGCCCAUUCCAUUAGUAAAUGUGAUACUGACAUGAGUACACACCUGUCAUCUAAAAGGUGAAUAAACUCUUUCUGGAUUUCCCCCCCUUGAGGUGGAUGACCUCUGAUCUUGGAGGCUCCUUUUGUUCAGAGUAUCUGUGUGUCAUUGGUCAGCAGUGCAAAGCAUGUCAAAACAUCCUCCUAGAGAAAGAUGGCUUUGCCCAGUUCUGUUUUGCCAUUGUGCAAAGCAAAGUAGCUAAGAUACCGGGCUAUCUUAGCAUACUCAGAGCCUAAACCUCACUGCUUUGUGUCACAGAUGUGCCACUAAGUUCACUGGUUGAUCUGUGUUACUAGGAAUGGUUUAUUUUUUGAGACACAAGGGUGAUGAUGUGAUGCUGAAGGGUGCCUGUGCUGCAGUUGCUGCUGGAUGCAUUAUGUGAGAGGAAAAUACAACUGAGGGCAGAGAAAGAGAGGGUGCAUAAAGUCUUUGUACUCCCAGGUAUCUUCCCAACACGGAUCUCUCUUGCUCCUGCAAAGCAAAGGCCAGAUUUCUCUUGAGCGGAGGUUAAACUGCCCUUACCAUUUUAGCUGGAUUCAGCUACAAAGAGCACUGACCUUUUAGCAACAGCAAACCAAUGUGCUAGUCACUGUAUCUUCAGAAACAGUAGACAUAAGUGGGUUGGCUUAAGUUGUGUCAUGCUGACCUCACUCUGUGUUCACCUAUGCCAUGAGAAAACAACAGCUCCCUUCUAUCUGUGCCACCUUUUAAAGCCUUUGCUCAGAAGCUCAGUUUCCUUCCCAGGCAGUGAAUUCUCUGUCCAUGAAGUUACACUUUACUACUAAGUUUCUUUUAAGGUGUGUCUGCACCAAGUGUUUACACUUUCACAGUAUUUUUAAUGCUAUGGAUUUAAUACUGAGAAUUAAAUCCAAGGGUCUGGAGAACUUGGUUUGAAGAUGAACCAAGCUUGUCCUCAGGACACUUAAGAAGACAAACUCUGCUUUCUCGGUCUGGGCAAUUCAUCCUGUUAGACUGGCUACAGUAGCAGGAUUCCCUUUAUUUUGCUGCUACUUUUUGCUAGUUUUCUCGCUCCUCAAGUGGAAAGAGAGGUGCUGAGAGAUGGAAGAGAGAGAAUCUAGUUCCUGAGACCGUCAUCCAUAACCUUGUUGGGUAACCUGUUCCAGUGCGUCAUCACACUUUGUGAAAAACUUCCUCCUAAUAUCUAACCUAAACCUCUCCUGUCUCAGUCUAAGACCCUUUCCCCUGUGCUAUCACUAUCCACCCUUGCAA